UACGUAGGGUGCAAGCGUUGUCCGGAAUUAUUGGGCGUAAAGGGCGCGUAGGCGGUCAGACCAAGUCGAGUGUGAAAUUCCAGGCUUAACUCUGGCGCGCUCGCUCGAUACUGGUCGGCUAGAGUGCGGUAGGGGAGACUGGAAUUCCUGGUGUAGCGGUGAAAUGCGCAGAUAUCAGGAGGAACACCGGUGGCGAAGGCGGGUCUCUGGGCCGAUACUGACGCUGGAGGAGUGAAAGCGUGGGGAGCGAACAGG
rnacentral:rRNA from 1 species